UGUGUUGACCCUGUGAUCCAGCGGUGGGGUAUUCGACAGUGUAGGGGCGCGUCUCUGGUUUUGUUGUGUCAUCGGGACGACGACAGAAAUUGUGGGGGAAUAAUGUAACAUGAUGGGAUGUGUGUCUUUAAGCCGCAUCAUUAAGUCUGUCUUGCGUUAGUGCGCCAUGUGAUUAGUAGGCACCAAUUGGCACGCCUUUAAAAGGUUGGCACAAUCUUCACUGAGGGAAGUGGCAGAUUGUUUGCGUGCCUGGGGCAGGUUUGGCCUUUGUUGGUGGUGCAGCUGGGGAGUCGGGCCCGUGUAGAGCCUCACUUCACGAGAGAUGGUCAAUUUCGGGGAGUUUGGUCUAUGACGGGGGUGCGACGUUGCUGUAAGCGCGACCACAUUUAGUUCACUUCAUAUUUGGCGUUACAGGAGCCGGUGUUGUGCGUGCUCUUCCCCUGCGACUGGAGACAGUCGGUGCUCCUCGCUGUUCUUGGUACCUGUGGAUCCACCUGUUGGCCUGUCUGCGGGCUGCUGCUUAUAUAGCCUAAGUUGCCGUUUAAGAGAAUACGUGUGUGUGUGUGUGUGUGCGUCUGCGUGCGCGAGUGUGUGACGUUUUCCCUUUACUUUGAGUUUUUGGUUUGUGUUAAUAAGGAGAAAGUGAGAGUUCUCUGUUUUUGUUAAUUUUGUAUUUUCUUUUGUUUGUUUUGGCUCACCCCACACCACUUGGGUCGCCCAACGUGCGGGUUACCCCCAGAUAGUUCUUGUUUGCCGUGCGUAAAAGUAAAACACAAGUGUGCAGUGGUAUUGGUGUGGGUUUGCCGUGCUUUGUAUUUUCAUUUUAUUAUUUAAUUUUGGUUUGCUGUGUACAACUAGUUGGGGAAAACCUUGGCCUCCUUGGCCCCUGUGGGGAGUGCGGGUGUCCAAUAGCUGUUAUUUUAAUUGUUUAUAUAUUCUUAAAAAGAAAGUGUAAGACAAUAAAAGAAACGUACUUUGAACCCUGUCUACGUGGUCCUUAACGAACCUGUGUUGCCUUGGGUUUACCAGUUGAAGUCAAACUAUUUCUGGGGGCGAAAUUCCCCCAGUGGCGUAGUCGU